CCCUGAGCACAACACCUCAGCUGCUGCCUGAAGAGCUCACCUCUGGAUGGACUGUCUUCCUUAACAGUAGCUGAUCCCAUGCAGUUCAAUAGUAACUGCCAAUAAAGAAAUUUAUGGCUGGAGAUUUAGGGAAGCCUGCCCAGCCCUGUAAAUCCAAGCCAGAGUUUGGAACGGAUCACUGUAAAUCCUCACCAGAAAACAGAAAAGGGCUCUCACCCAUAAGAUGGCGAACUUCCUGCUUCUCUUCCGGGUCUUCGGUUCCCGCCGGCGCCACCCGAAGCCCAAUCACCUCUUGCCCCCCCCCAAUCCCAGCACCUGGCCAAUAGCCACCAGUCCCGUUGAAGUGACACCUCAAUCAGCUUAUGUCCCUCCCUAUAUAACCUAGUACUUUUCCCCAAUAAAGUGGAACU